AAUUGCUCCUCAGUGGGGAUUGCCUCAGUGUUUCCUAGCUGACUAAAGGCUUCUAUAUGGGAAGCAAGAGGAACAGACCAAAGAAUGGAAGAUGAUCAGACAAAAGAUAAGUGGUGGGAAAACAAUUCCUCAAACUCUGGAGGAAACCUGGAGGGCCACUUGUGCUGGAGGACAUGAGGAGCUCUAGGAAAUAUUUGUUUCUGCUUUGUCUGUUUGGGAGAAGCUGUCAGCCUGCACUUCCUACAGCUGUUGAUGUGGGGCAGAGAUAAUGCACUCCCUCCAUGUUUAUGGUACCAGAAGGUGACCAGAUUAGCCAUGUCCAUAGUCUUAUUCUCCAUCCCAAGAAGCAAGAAGAGAUGUCAGCCUACUCAAGCUACAAGGUUUUCAGUUUUCUCCAGCUGACCAAAUCUUAUCUUCAGCUGCUCUCGAAAUACCAUACUGGUAUCAGCGGUUCUCCUCAAUACCAGCAGAAAGGCCUGAAGCAAUUGCAAAAUGACAAAUGACCAUCAGCUCAGCAAGUUUGCUAUAUUAUGUGCAGAUCACAGUCAACACUAUAAUAGAAUAGGCAUUUAGGUGGGAUUCAGACCAGUGGUCUACAGAUAGAGGUCCUCACGGAGGGCACCAGAAGUGAUGGCACCCGUGCUUUGGUCAGUGACAGAGCUCUGGAAAACCAGGAUGGCUGCAAGUGUAGCAGAGGCUGGCUGUUCCUGGCCUGGGAAGGAUGGUCAUCCCACUGGAGUAAUUAGCAUCCCACUCCUCUGCGCUCCCAAUGACAGGGGACUCUUCUCAGCAGGAUCCUGUAUGCUCCUUCCUGUGAUGAGGUGGCUUUUUCAGGAAUGCAGAGCAUGUAGAACCUCAGAGACUGUUUUGUCCUUUUGUGCCAGGAAUCUGCCGAGAGAUUUGUGCACUUGCUGUGCAAACUGGUUCCAUGAGUGGCCACUCUACAGAAGACACUAAGCGGCUGCAGUACAGCCCUUUCUGCAUGAAGACUAAAGAAACACAGUCUUAGUCAAAAUGUCAGCAAAAGAUUUUAAUCUUUUCUUGCCUCUUAAUUUAUUUCUCCAAAUUAGCCUGGAAUGCUUAAACCUAUCAUUUAAAAUAAUCAACCUGUCAUCUCUGGUAUUGGCACAUUACUGAAAAAACUGCAGCAAGUUUUUUUGGAAGACAAAAAACUCCUGGAUCUGCUUCUUUACAAAUAAACUGUGUUUACUACUAUGCUGUUACACUAUAAAACAUUCUAUAGAAUAUGCAGCUGUUCAACCAAACACCCUAAAUUCAUGUGCUAGUAUUUGCAUGUACCUGUGCAAUAUCUAUACUGAAACGGAAGCCAUUUCAUUAUAAUGCAGCCAUGUUAUAUAUUUCCUUAUCACUGUCAUACUAAACAUACCUCAGCCUCGUUCUAGAGGCCCUGUGUUGCCACCAGGAUGCCAACCCCUCUGGACACCUACCAGCAUGCAGAACAUCCAGCCAUUAGACCCUAAACUCAUCCUAUGGAGCCAGAGCUGUUCAUGGGCUAGUCUCCAACUCUAAAACUGCCACCCAUCCAAGCAAGCACAAGGGUCCAAUCUUUAAUAUCCACACUAUAUCAUAAAUCAGCCCUACUCCCAGAGCCUCAAAGUAGUCUAAGCGAGAUUUUGUACUAAUGAAUAGGCAGUAUCCCCAGAACACACAGUACUUCUCAAGUUGUCAAACUUCACUGAGGCUGCCAGUGAUAGCCCCUACCCACUGCACGCUGCGAUGACACAACCACCUCAUUUUACAUAUGCCCCCAACUGACUGACCAAGGGCAAUCAAUUUUUCAGUUGGCUCUGAACCUCAGAACACUCACAUAAAAUAACCCAAACCAAAUACUCUAACUUACGCUUCAUCUGAACAUUAACCAUAUAAAUAAGCACAGACAGUAAUGAAAGGGAGAUGUCAACACUGAAAGGUGUUGAAAAUUACAUUAGGAAUAAUGAAUGCUUCAGGGAUUAACAGUACCAUAUGGUACCUUUCAUGUCCAACUUACUGGUACAAAUCCAGAUAGAGCAGCACGGAUAAAAACCUUUACCAUCUGGAGACUUAUUAGUUCACGGAAAAUAAACAGGUGCUGGUGUCUCACACACACACAAAAUCCACCAUCAUACCUGGAAGUCUUGUUGCCUUUCGCAGUAGAGAGAUCAAAGAGGGCCAGAAUAUCCUUCUGUCUCCCCAAGUACAGUGUGAGAAGUGAGGACAGCUGAAUGCAGUAUACUACUACCACCCACUACAGAACUAAAACACAUGAUCACACAGAUUUCCAGGAAUGAUCCUUUUCAGGGAACAGAAGGAUUUAUGAUUUUCAAGAUGAAAUCUUGUCCGCCCACACACUGCU